UAGUGCUGCUGUAUUUGUUUGAAUAUAGGAUGUAAAAGGAAGAUGAGGUUUGUACAGGUUGAAUUUGAAAUGCUUGUGCCAUAUCUGAUGGAGAUGCUCCAUGGGUCUGAAGCUCAGGAAAGUGAUCUGGUUGAUAAGUUGACUGAAAGUUUCAGCAUACAGAGAGUGGUUUCAGCAUACAGUGGUUGAGGCAAGCAGAGUCUAUGAAAUCCCCAGGAGACAUGCAUAAAGUGAGAAGAGAAUUCCAGAGCAUAUCAACCCUUAAGUGAUGAGCAGAGGAAGAGGAACUUGAAAUGACUCUGAGAGGAAACAGCUGGAGACAUAAGAGGAAACCUAGGAGAGGGUAGUGUCACUGGAGCCAAGAAGACAGUUCCAAGUAACACAGUAAAUGUGCAAGGAGUGAGCCCCUGUCCUUCUUACCUCCAAGGCCAUUCCAAACUCUUGUCUGAGAAGUGUCUUGAGUUUUGUCUUGUUCAGCCUCUGCCAGUCUCCAUCACUCUGCGUGCUUGUGGAAAAUGUCGAUGAUACUGAUGCUGCUCCUCAGAAGAUAGGGAAGCAUCUUGUUUUGCCAACUGGAGUGCACCUGGAAUGCACCAAGGAAUACCCAACUUGUUUAAUUUUUCUGAAUCUCUAUCAUCCCUUCUUUCUUCAUCUCUUGGAGGUAAAUUACAGUGUAAAGAUCCGGCUUAUUUGAUUGUUUAUCUGACUCCUUUAGAGAUUUUUCUUUGAGGGCCAGGACCAUGUCUUAUCUAUUUUUUAUUUAUCCUAGUGCCUCAAAUAUAGUAGAAGUUCAAUAAAUGCCUGAUGAAUGGGUGCAGAAACAAAUGAGUGAACCCUGAUUUGAGUGAUAUGUUGGAAUAGGUCUGUGGUUCCCAAACUUUGCUGUACUAUAGAGUCACCAGGAGGAGCUUUAAAGAAAUAAAGACUCCAGGCCCCACCUCCAGAGAGAGUGGCUCAAUAGCUCUGGGGUAGAGUCCUAGACUCUGCAUUUAAAAAGCUCCCCACUGAUUCCUUUGCAGCCGCAAGAACUACUGGCCACCUGACCUCUGAGAUCCUUUGCAGCUAGAAAGUUUUGCAAUGGCAAUAAUAAUGAAUUAACUGACUUAGCAAGCAUUUCUUAAUUUCCUUUGUGCCAAUGCUGUGUUGUGUUCUGGGAAUGGGAGAUGAAUAAGAAAUAGCUCCUUUCCUCAAGGAAUUCAAAGCUUGGAGGAGGAGAUGCAGUUAUCUCAGUACAGUCUGAUAAUUUACACGUAGCGGUGGCUGGGGACUAAGACAGGAGCUCUUCUUAGAUGAUGCCAUUCUUGAAGAUUAUAGAGCAGUACUUUUAAAACAUGGGCAAAGUCCACUAGGGUAUUGCUCCUGUCAUUCUAAUUACAACUUGUCAGUGUUAGAACUUUCAUAGAAUUUUCCAGAAAGCCAAAGCUAUAUCUGCGCAGUCUAAUUGUCUAUGUAAGAAUACUAAGGAAGGAAAACAUUUACAAAAACAGAAAUAUAAUUUUUUUAAAGAACUUACUUAAAUUGCCAAGAGAAAUGGAGGACUCAGGCCUGAGAGCUCAUGGAAUAAUGGGCUUGGGGAUCCUGGUGCUUAUAUAGGGGUUUUAAUUACACCCUUUAACCUGACAUCUUUUGCAGACAACACCCUUGGUGUAUAAUGGACUGAAUCAUUGCCAACCAAACCCCAUUCCACCUGUUUCUCCUCUAAGCGGGGCUUUUAAACUCAGCAUUUCCUUGAAUGCCACCCCUAUUUUGCAUUUGUUCUGUGUCUGCAGCCUGGCUCCUGAGGGACAGCUACUUCUCACAUCCCUGUGGGGCCAUAGUGCCACCAGGAUGUCUUGACAGUGUGCUGAAGUACUCUCAAGAAAAACCUUGUGAACCAAUAGUGGCCUCAUCUCCUGCAAGUAAAAUGAGUUCUUAACCUGAGCCAUUUUAGUCAUGAACAAGAUCUCUUUCACUGUCUGUAAUUGCACAUUUUAUUUGGAUAUGUUGAGGCUGAAGUGCCCAGUUGCAUUAGAUGCUUGCUAUACUGUGAUGUAAAACACAAACAUGAGUCUGUCUUAAUCCCCACCUGGCCUAUUCCUUCGGCGGGUGGUUCUGUGCCUCACGACCCAUCUCCCUGUGUCUAU
rnacentral:lncRNA from 1 species